rnacentral:rRNA from 1 species
AGUGAACGCUGGCGGUAGGCCUAACACAUGCAAGUCGAACGGCAGCACAGUAAGAGCUUGCUCUUACGGGUGGCGAGUGGCGGACGGGUGAGGAAUACAUCGGAAUCUACUUUUUCGUGGGGGAUAACGUAGGGAAACUUACGCUAAUACCGCAUACGUCCUACGGGUGAAAGCAGGGGAUCUUCGGACCUUGCGCGAUUGAGUGAGCCGAUGUCGGAUUAGCUAGUUGGCGGGGUAAAGGCCCACCAAGGCGACGAUCCGUAGCUGGUCUGAGAGGAUGAUCAGCCACACUGGAACUGAGACACGGUCCAGACUCCUACGGGAGGCAGCAGUGGGGAAUAUUGGACAAUGGGCGCAAGCCUGAUCCAGCCAUACCGCGUGGGUGAAGAAGGCCUUCGGGUUGUAAAGCCCUUUUGUUGGGAAAGAAAAGCAGCAGGUUAAUACCCCGCUGUUCUGACGGUACCCAAAGAAUAAGCACCGGCUAACUUCGUG